rnacentral:misc_RNA from 1 species
AAAAGGAAAAAAGAAAGUGCUUCAGCAAACACUAAGGACAACCUACCAAAUGUAUUGGUACUUCACAUUAUUAAACCUGUUUCUCUGCUACAUGACAUCAAUCUUUAAAUUUUCUCAUGUCACUAAAUAUGGGGAAGACACAAAUUCAAUGAAAGAAAAUGUAAAUGAAGUUUUGAAAAAUAAAAAUAAAAACUCAAGACUGACUUCCAAGAAAAC